rnacentral:lncRNA from 1 species
UAUUCAAUGCCUCGAAGAAGAGCAGGAUAUAUUUGUGGCUUCAGACUUAACAAUAAAUAAAGCAAAGCUCAAAGCUGCUGUAUGCUCUGCUCCAGUGUCUAUGGAGUACAUACAGAAAGAUAGAACUACUGGUGAGUUGCAGGAUGCAAAUAAGGUGGGCAAAAAAAGUGACGACGAAGUAGGGCAUGAACAACCUAGUCACCCGUUGGAGUCAACAGACGAGAAAUGUGAAGAAGCUAUUGGGGCCAGAUUGCUUGGAAGUGGUAAUACU